rnacentral:rRNA from 1 species
AGUAACACGUAAACAACCUGCCUUCAGGAUGGGGACAACAGACGGAAACGACUGCUAAUACCGAAUAAGUUCCAAGAGCCGCAUGGCCCAUGGAAGAAAAGGUGGCCUCUACCUGUAAGCUAUCGCCUGAAGAGGGGUUUGCGUCUGAUUAGCUGGUUGGAGGGGUAACGGCCCACCAAGGCGACGAUCAGUAGCCGGUCUGAGAGGAUGAACGGCCACACUGGAACUGAGACACGGUCCAGACUCCUACGGGAGGCAGCAUGU